UGUGUGUGUGUCCCCACAAGGUUAGUUAUACGAGACUGUGUGUGUGUCUGUGUGUCCCCACAAGGUCAGUUAUACAAGACUGUGUGUGUGUCUGUGUGUCCCCACAAGGUUAGUUAUACGAGACUGUGUGUGUGUCUGUGUGUGUCCCCACAAGGUUAGUUAUACGAGACUGUGUGUGUGUCUGUGUGUGUCCCCACAAGGUUAGUUAUACGAGACUGUGUGUGUGUCUGUGUGUGUCCCCACAAGGUUAGUUAUACGAGACUGUGUGUGUGUGUGUGUGUCCCCACAAGGUUAGUUAUACGAGACUGUGUGUGUGUGUGUGUGUCCCCACAAGGUUAGUUAUACAAGACUGGGUGUGUGUGUCUGUGUGUCCCCACAAGGUUAGUUAUACGAGACUGUGUGUGUGUGACUCACUUCGACAGCAGCGAGUCCUCCA
ensembl:lncRNA